rnacentral:lncRNA from 1 species
GCAUCAAAUAUAUCUAUACUUGGCUGAUGGAUGGUGCAAACCACGGUACGUCCUGUGUCCACGGUGUUCCUUACUGUUCUCAUUACGAUUGCAGCUGCUCUAGCAUCAAGGCCAGAAGUUGGCUCAUCCAUGAAUAUUAUCGAUGGAUUUGCUACAAGUUCAACUGCAAUAGUAAGCCUCUUGCGUUGUUCAGUUGAAAGUCCGUUCUCUCCUGGCAAUCCAACAAGUGCUUCUCUUAACGAAUUAAGCUCUACGAGCUCCAUAACUUCCUCAAUGAACAUCUGCAUCUCAUAAAAUUGAGUUCAAGUUAAUGAUUACGAAUCCUAAUUGCUUUCUAUGUUCAUAGUUUUGUAUUUCGUGCCUCUAAUUUGAAAAGAAAACAAUUUUACCUUUCUAGUUUUACGAUCAACAUCAGGUGAUAAACGAAGCCAUGCAGAAUAUAGCAAAGAUUCAUAAACUGUAACAUUAGGUGAGUGGAUAUCGGAUUGUUCACAAUAUCCCGAUAUGCGAGCAAAUGUUUCUUGAUUCUUUGGAUAACCAGAUAUUGUGAUGCUUCCUUCAAUAUAUCCACUAGUUUUUCUUCCGGCUAAAACAUCCAUUAGAGUAGUCUUUCCAGCACCACUUACACCCAUAAGAGCUGUUAGUACUCCUGGUCUAAAAGCACCACUAACACCCUUCAAAAGUUCGAGCCGAUCCUCGCAAACUCCUUGACUUUUCAUUGCCUAUAUAACCAAGGUAAUAGACUCAUUCUCACUGUGAUCUCGUAACGAUAAAAAUUCAUUCAAAUUAUUAUUAUAUGAUCUUAAACAUAAGUAAGUUACCUGUGGCAUGUCAACAAAAUAUCUGAUAUCAUCAAAAGUGAGGGAUAGAGGUUGAAAAGGAAGAACCAUCCCUUUUUUUCCAGUACUGCUAGCUUUGUUUUUGACAACUGCUUCGUCCAUCUUUGUAUCUGAUUUUUCAUCAAAAUCAUUAUGUUAUUUCUUGAAUACAAAAAAUUUAGAUACAAAUAGAUUAUUAACUAUAUUUUGGAGCUAAAGGACUCGCCAGAAGAGCUCUUUUGUGUUUGUGAUUGAAUGAACUCUUCAGCCGUGGAAGCAUUUCGCUCUAGCAAUUUCUCUUGGGAUAAGCCUGCUUGAUCCUUUCUGAAUGCUGCAAAGGCAACAUAUCCAAUGAUACAAAAUUAUUUGGUCGUUCGAGUGAAUAUCACAGCUCAAAACGAGAGACGAAUAUGUACUUACGACUUAGACAGUGCAACGCCAAGGCGAAGAAAAAAUUAAAUAGAAAAACAUAGCCAAUCAAAGCUCCAACUCCAAUCCAAUACCAAUAAGCUUGUGGAAAAAAUCCGCGAGAUUUCAGUAUAUAUACUCCCAAUGUUUCAUUGGAAGUAGUACUAGUAACCUGCAACAUUCAAGGAAAUUUAGCUUAUAUAAAAAUCGCAUACUAAAGCUCAUAGAAUAACCAUUAAAAACAAGGGACCGAUUCAUUACGUUUCUCCAACUAUGUCCAAGAAAUUCAUUCACAGCUAUAGCAUUUUGUCCAUACAUCAACGGUGACGACCAAUAGCCCCACAAAAACCAUUUGCUCACAUCAUCUAAUGCAAAAAAACAAUGUUAUCAUAAGAAAGAUUCAUUACAUUAGCCAAGUUUAGAGUUACACUACAAUUUUCUUACCUCUUGAAAUAACAAAUCCUCCCAAAACAGUAACUGCAAGUAGUGAAAAUGUUCCAAAUGUGUUUGCAACUACAAUAUCCCUUCCUAAUGCUGCCAUAAACCGAAAUAGCGCAGACGCCAUCUGAUUAAUACAUAAGAUUACCAAGUACUGUUUAAAAAACCUUCCAGUAUCUCGAUCGUAGCCAAUGCCAUAGUAAGAUAUGCAUUCCCAAAUGGCAACUUCUAUGAGAGUUACUGGUAUUUUGAGGAUCCAUGGUGGAAGAGAAUAAGCCCAUGAAGGAUAGAAAAGAAGAUCUCUUUGUUUGUAAAAGAUAGGAAGUUUCAUGAUUGUCAUAUUUAGCUCUGAUAUUCCAUUGAACAUUGCUACUGUCACUGUGAAGAAUAGUGCUCCCAUGUAUGUUUCUGCAUCCUCGAAGGUCGAAUGAUGCAUCGUUGGUCGUAGAAAUAACAUUGUUGUCAAGGUUGCUAAAUAUGUAAGCUGAUAAGGAUGAAAGAAGAAUUUCUUAAUAAUAAAAAGUAGAGAUAAGAAUACCAAGAUAAUUAUGACAAAAUUGCACCAGCGGUCCUUUACUCGAAAAGAUUUUGAGACAUAGAAUAUAAUGUUACUCACUUGUGUGGCUUUGAAUAUGUAGAUAAACGAAUUCCGCCUCAUAAGCAACAAUUCUCUGCUAACACAAGCCCUUAACAACUCUUUCUUGUUAAUACCAUAUUUCUUUGUGAUCAAGGCAUUUGAAUGAAAUUUCGACUUAUUAAAUGGAUCGGCCAUCUCUUCUCCAAGUUGUUGACCGACGUGAAAUAAUUCGAAGGCUCGAGCAAAAUCCUUGACAGUGACAAAGUUAUAAGGUUCAUCUUUACGCGCCCAAUAUUGCCAUUGGUCUUUUCUUGAUGUCACCUAUUGCAUAACAUUAAAUUAAGUUAACUAUACAUUAAUGAAGUAAAAGUAACAAUAUUUUUUAAAGGAAGACUUGUAGUGAAUGAGAUUAAUACUUCUUGUAAGAAGUCGGCGACGCCUUUUCUUUCCGGACACUUGAAACCGAUUGAUUCAAAAAACUCAAGUACAUUUUCUCUUGGUCCUUGAUACACAAUUUGUCCAUCUGUGAGAAGUAUAAUAUCAUCAAAUAGGUCAUAAGUUUCUGGUGCUGGUUGUAGCAGAGAAACAAGUGCAGUUCCAUUUAGAAUAUGUAUGGACUGCUUGAUUGAGUUGAUUAUCUGAAAAGUUGUUGAACUGUCCAAACCAUUUGAUAUCUCAUCCAUGAAUAACACCUUUAUAGGUCCAACCAGCAUCUCACCUAAACCAAAAAUUAUUAAUCAAUAAACCUCAUUAAGGUCUAAAGUGUUUGCCAUGUUUUUAUUCUCAAACCGAACUUACCUGUAGUGAGUCGCUUUUUCUCCCCUCCUGAGAUCCCUCUUAUCAUUUGGUCUCCUACCAUUAUGUCAGCACAAACUUCAAGUCCCAAAAUCUGCAAAAAGAAAAACCACAAAGGAGUAAAUUAAAACCUUUUCUUGUUUCACAAGUCAACUAUAUCGAUGAAUUUGGACUUUUACCUUAAGAAUAUAGUCAAUGACCACACUGUUCUGCUGACCUUCUAUUGCUGCUUCCUGCAUAUUUUUGAGUGAAUUACAUGCUAUUAAAUAAUGAAGCUUCCUUACAAUGCAACAUGUUCACCAUUUUUCCAAAAAUAAGGAUUCAAAACAUCAAUAUCAGGAUCUGGUUCAACCUGUGAUUCUUUAAUAAUUCUCACCUUCAUAUAAGCAUCAAUAUCAGGAUCUGGUUCAACCUGUGAUUCUUUCUCUCUUUUCAAUAGUUCAGCCAACAUUUCUGCAAAGUGAUGAAAUUUAAAACUCUGGUUAAGACACAUCUAGAAGAUUUGGAUUCAAUUACAAGUUUCAUUCGCCAUUUCUUUUUCGUACCGUAAUUUUGUCCAACCCCUUGACAUCUGGCUGAAAAAUCUAGUGUUUCUCUAACAGUCAUUUCUCCAAUGUGAUUAUCAUAUUGACUUACAUAAGCUGAUGUUCUUUGUGGCACAAACUCUUCUAGUCCUUCUCCAUUGUAUGUUACUCUCCCAGAAUUCUGAAGUUUCAUCACCAAUCAAAUUAGUUAUAAUCUUGUAAAUUCAAAUUCAAAUUAUGACAUAGUAUUGUCAAGUGUCUAUGGAAAUGGAUUCCCUAAAUGCUUCAUACAGUUUUCAAUCUCGACUGUCUAAUCUGAAUCAAAGGCAUAGAUUGUUUAUAACUGAUUUUGUCAAUGAGUAAUCUAAACCUCCGAUAUCAAAUCAAUGACCGAGAUUGCUUACUGGUGUAAAUGCGUGCUUAUCUUACACACACGGUUACACAAUUUUGCAUCUCGAUCGUUAAUUGGAGAUCACACGGCUUAGAUUACAAGGCAGUCAGUAAAUUUCCUUACCUUCAAAUCUUUGCCAAGUCUUCCAGCCAAUGCCAAAAGCAAAGUGGUCUUUCCAGAACCAGGUGGCCCUAAAAGCAAUGUCAUCCUACAAAAACAUCAAAAUCUGAACAAGUAAAUAUGGAAAUUUAUUGUAAUAUUGUAAAAAAUAAAAGAAAAAUGAAAAAAAAGAAUGUAUUUAAUUCACCUUUUAGGCUUUAUGAUUCCACCAACAUUCUGAAGUAUAUGUAACUGUUUCUUAGGACUUGGAAUUAUUUGAAGAUUAUUUAAACAACCCUUAACAAACAAAAGAAAAAACAAAACAGCAUAGAAUGAAUAAUCAGAUACAAUAAUACAAUGAUUAAGGUAGAAACAUUAGGUGCAAUAUUGAAGUACCUCAAUGACAUUCACAAAGAAGUUAAGUAAUGAAGGCAAUGCUCUACUUCCAACAUAAACUUGUGCUUCAACAUUUAUAUCCUUAAAUCUUACUUCAAUUGUUGGAAGCUCAAGUCCCACUCUGUGCAAAGUUUAGUUAACAAAAACAGUAUAAGAACAAGAUGUUUCAAUCAAAUCUUCAAAAGUCAAUGCUUCAAAACUUCAAAGUCAAUGCUUCUGGAUUAGGAUUUAUAAAAGAUAAAACAUUACAAUUCUCUUGAAGUGAUUCUCAAAUAGCAUACAAGGCUCAGUUCACAAAGAAUCUUGUGAUAAUUACGCGUUUUUAGACCAAAAAAACUCUUCUUUUUUACAUACAAAAAAGUUUAGGCGAGUUAGUUCACAUCAACUCAUCAGAGGUACAUGUCUCACCUCACGCGCGCUUACAAAUGUACUUGUCCAACAACAAUAUUUGUACAUCAAAAAUGAGUUUCUAUAACGAGAUGAAACAAUAUUUGUUAAAAUUAGCUUCCGGUCUAUUUUUUUUUCUUUCAAAAACUCGUAAUUUUUCUAUGAACGUUGUCAGCUUAGUGGUAAGAUAUUGACCUUAUAUGAUCAUAGAUGUUUUAUGAUCUUAUAAGAAUUUUUUUCCAUAAGUAAAAAAAAAACAUGAUCUUAUUUAAACAAGAACUAAUCAUCAAAUUUUAUACCUGUCCAUUCUUUCCUUGAGUUUCAACAAGAACUUUUCAUUAUCUUCUUCUGCUAUUUUCACAAGUCUUUCUAACAAAGCCUUUUUUUCAACAUCUUUUCCUUCUUCUUCAGUCUCUACACUUUUCCUAUAGCAUGCAUUUGUAAGGAUUCUCUUCAUUGCAACACACUUAAGAGCUUCCUCAUCAUCUUCACGUUCAGAUUUUGAGAAAACAUUCAUGCAAUGGUUCUUCCAUGUUUUAGUCUCACUAUUCUCCAUUUAUCUCAUACAUAAAAAUUUCAAAGUAUAUGUUAUAUUUUCAUGCUUGUAGUAUUUAUAGAAGGGGGUUAAUAUUUUUGGAUUAAUUAAAUGGAUAAAGGAAAAGUUGGAUAAAGACAGAUAAUAGAAUUUAGGUACACUAAAAACUAUGUUGGUGUGAAAUAUGUGAAAUGGUAAAGGAAACUAAGAGCAUCUUCCAUUGUUAUCUCUUAUUGUUGUGCCACAUCAUAUUUUUAAUCCAAUUUUACUCAUUUUAGGGACUUGUUUAUGCUACAUCAUACUCCCUAUGGUCCUAUAAUUUAUAAGAAAUUAAAAGACUAAAUCACAAAGAUUAAGUAUUCCCUAGAAAAAUAUUAUUUUAAAUUCAUUGUUGAACUGAUUUUAAGUGUGUCUUUUGCUAAAUUCAUUGUUUUUGUGGCUUUCAGGACCCAGACAUGAGUAUCACAAGAUCAUAUAUGAGAGAUAGUGGAGUAUAUGAUAUAGACUCUGAUUUUGACAUUGCCUUGGAUGGUUUUCGUAGUAUGCUUCCGACUUUUGACUUUAGUAGUUUCGCUAGUAAGGAUAUCAUCCCACAUAAAGUCCAUCAUACUUUGGCGAGUGACCUUUUUAAUAAAAUUUGUUCAUGGUAUGGAAGUCAAUUUUGACAUGCCCACCGGGCAAAAGGCAGUUUUUAGGUGUUUACAAGCAUUUCAUGUUCAAGAUUUCUCGUAGCUAUCCCAAUUGAUGGGCUAGGACAACAUAUGUCACAGGUGGAGUACCACACUAUUCUCAUAUACCGCCUCAUGAUUCCAAUUAUUUUCUAUUGAUGAGGUUUGCCAUGUUUGCCGUAAAGCGUGCCUAAAUCAAUUUGGGGACCAUGCAAUUUAUUGUAGGGAGCUUCCAGGCUUCAAAUAUAGGCAGAACUUUGUCAGGGAUGUUCUUUGUGACAUUUUUCAACGUGCAGGUGUAUAUGUGAAGCAAGAAGUGUCUGUGAACUUUUUGACUACCCACAAGAAGGGAGAUUGACGCUUAAACCUGCAGAUGUUCUAGUGUACAAUUGNNNNNNNNNNNNNNNNNNNNNNNNNNNNNNNNNNNNNNNNNNNNNNNNNNNNNNNNNNNNNNNNNNNNNNNNNNNNNNNNNNNNNNNNNNNNNNNNNNNNNNNNNNNNNNNNNNNNNNNNNNNNNNNNNNNNNNNNNNNNNNNNNNNNNNNNNNNNNNNNNNNNNNNNNNNNNNNNNNNNNNNNNNNNNNNNNNNNNNNNNNNNNNNNNNNNNNNNNNNNNNNNNNNNNNNNNNNNNNNNNNNNNNNNNNNNNNNNNNNNNNNNNNNNNNNNNNNNNNNNNNNNNNNNNNNNNNNNNNNNNNNNNNNAAUUUAUAAGAAAUUAAAAGACUAAAUCACAAAGAUUAAGUAUUCCCUAGAAAAAUAUUAUUUUUAAUUCAUUGUUGAACUGAUUUUAAGUGUGUCUUUUGCUAAAUUCAUUGCUUUUGUGGCUUUCAGGACCCAGACAUGAGUAUCACAAGAUCAUAUAUGAGAGAUAGUGGAGUAUAUGAUAUAGACUCUGAUUUUGACAUUGCCUUGGAUGGUUUUCGUAGUAUGCUUCCACAAAAGCAUGUUAAUUUUAUUUGAAGCUAGAAUUAAUUGAUUUUAUUUAGAAAAAGUAAAAUGAUUUAUGUUUGGACACAUGGCAAGAGUGAAAUAACCAUAAAUUUAAGUGUAAAACUCAAUUCUAGCAUUAGAAGUUACAAAUUCUAGCUUCAAAUAAAAUUAAUUAAUUCUACUUUAAAAAAAUCAAACAUAUCAAAAUCAAUUCUACAUUUCUAAAAACAAUUUUAACCACUCUAAAAAUGCAACCAAAUAUACACUUAAUUUUUUAUGAAAAUGGGACCAAAUUGACACACUCAGUAAAGUGAGGGAUGAAGUUUGCCAUUUAAGAAAAACGAUUUUUUUACUAUAUAUUCGUUUAGGAAAGCUUGGAAAAAAUCGAUUAUUGUCAAUUUACAUAUUUGUAUAUACAGUAUAAAUACAAUAAGAAACGCCAAAUUAAAAAGUGAUAACUCGUCACAAAAUGAAAAUGAUCGAUCAUUUUUUAUUUAUAAUGUGUAUUUCAAUAAACCAAUCUAUAAGGUUGGAACAUAAACAAAAUAAAAACUCAUAUUGACUUUAUUGAUCAGAUUAAAAAAAGUGACAAUAUUUUCAAAACACAAACAUCAAUUAUUGUCCUAUUUUUUGUUUGUUGCAAAACAUGUACAUUGUUUGGAUUAGUUUAUUUAGAGAAAUAAUUUUUUUAUUGGUCAUACUAACUAGUGCCCUAUAUAUCACUAAUUAUGAAAUGUAAAAAAAAUAAAUUUUAUAUAUUGAAAAAAUUAUUUUUUAUAAUUUAAAAAAGAUAGAAUACAUAAAAUUUAAGACUAUUUUACUAUAUUUACCUCAUUAGUUAAUGUCCGGAACACUAGUUAGCAUUUAUUUUAUUUUUUUAUCUAUAAAGUUGGUCCAAAGACCAUUAUUAUUGUACAUUUACAUGUUUAUAUACAAUAAUCUUACAAUCAUAAACAUCAAAUUUUAAAGUGAAUAACUUGCUAACUCAUCAUAAAAUGAAAAUGAUCUAUCAUUUUAUUUACAAUAUACAUGACACUAAUCUUGAUUUUGUAAAUUAAGAAAGUAUUUGUGUCUUAUAUUAUUGAAAGUUUUUAUAUAAUAUUUACCAUUUGAAGGCUGACAUUUGGCAAAUUGUAUACAUCAUUAGAUGUGGAAACCUCUAGGAUCAAAAAAUGACACUUUGUCACAUAUUGUUGGAUGCUUACACUCAGUUACGAUCAUAACUAUGACAUUAAAUUUUAAAUUUAAUUUUUAUUGGAAUUUAAAUGCCAUUUUUUCUUUUCUUUUGACAAAAAUAUGCAGUUGUUAGGCAAUUGACAUAUGCUGAUUUAUCGCUUACGUCUGAUCGAUCUAUCGUUGCGUCAUCAUGUUAAUUAUAUAUUUGUUUAGGUACUCUAUAUUUCCCACAUUAUGUCCACAAAAAAAAGUAUAUUCCCUCUUUUUUUUUUAUUGUUUAAUGGAGUAGUACAAAAUAAUCCUAUCUCCAUUCAAUUAGAUUUUUGUCUAUAUAUUCCCUCCGUACUUAAUUAUAAAAUACCUUGACAAACUUAUAAUAAUAUAUAAAGGAAAAUGCUAAACAGUGUCUCCGGAGCAAUUGCAUAAGUUAUUUGCAUAAACUCUAAAAAAAACUGGACCAAACGAGCCUAAGUCUCAUGAAGAUUUACUUAUUUACUUUUUCAUGAAAAUUAUUUAUUUUUCAUGAAGAUUUACUAGUGUAUUUUUACAUUAUACAAACUAAUGAGUUAAGCUCGUCGACAAAUUAUGCCGUCUAAAAGGAUCUUGUUAAAACUAUGUGUGUAUUUAAAAAACGUGGCUAUGGUAGAAUUUAAGAUAAUGUGAAUUUUUUUUUUACGGUAAGAAAAUGUGAAUUUAAAAGACUUGUACACAGUAAAAAACUUUUUUCACUUGUGCAUAUAUAUUAGACAAAGUCUAUUGUACAUGGAUAAAAUGUAUAACUAGUCUUUUUGUUCUUUUUUACAUAAGGGCAAUUAUUUUGUUUUACAUGCUAGGUGGUAGCAUAAAUAAAUAAAAUUCUAAUAAUAAAAAUAUUAAAAUUGUCCACAUUAAUUUGUAUGAAUGCAUUUUGUACUUCUUCAUUCUUGAAGGACUUGCUAUAACUAUCAUACUAAGAGGACAUGACAACCUAGAAUUUGCACUAGGGAUAUGAAUUAUUUGUCAAAGAAUCAUAUUUGAAGUAAUUUCAUCUUUUUUGGAAGUUGAAUGCUUUGAUGCCAAGAGUGAAGAUAAAUGCAAACAACACUGAGAAACCAGCCACAACAAUUGCAACCAUUCCUAGGAAGUCAUGUUUAAACCCAAAGUAAUUUCUCACAAAUUCUUCAACCCUUUGACCAUUCUCAAGUUUUUCCAUGUUGUCUCCAUAUUGAGAUGUCACCAAUCCAUUCAAGGUCCAUGCAACUGGACAUAUCCAAUAGUACCACUUCCACCAUAUUGGUAUUCUCUGUCAUUAUAAUCAAUUUUCAAAGUUAGCUUAUUGCAUUAAACAAAUGACUUAAAUGCACUUUUACUGUUAUAAUUGUGUGGUUUUGGAUCUUAUGUUUUUUCUCUUUGUAACUUGGUAGUUUCUUUAAUUUCCCUUCACAAAGUUAUGCUGAUGUGACAACAUUUAUGACCCUACACCAAACUAUUGUAGUUGGUGUGAAUUUUUUUUAAAUAGAAAACAAAUAACGCAAAAUCAAUCCUUGCACGCAAGGUUGAAUGAGGAUGAUCAUUAGGAUUUCUUUAUUCAACCUCACGUGCACGAGAUUAUUUUUGCUUUUUUAAAAAAAUAAAUUAAACAAUAUAUAGUCAUGUUGGCUAUGAUAGUUUGGUUUCACGUCAAUAAAUAAUGUCACAUCAGUGUAAAUUUAUUUGGGGGACUACCAAGUUACAAACAGGAACAAUACAAUGGGCCAAAUCGCUUCAAUAAAUAGUGGAGCAGCCGAACAAUCACAAUAUUCGAAAGCCAAAAAUGCAUGUAAGCCUAAAAAUGUCAAGCAACCAAAAAUUUGAUUUGUCGUCCAUUGUAUCUCUCCUGUAAAAUCUUAAUCGUUAGAUUAAUCUAAUAAAUAGAGAUCAUAUCUCUCAACCGUUAGAUAAAUCCGACAAUUAAGAUUUAGCUGGAGGGGAUAGUGGGAUGCAGAACUUAUAUGCUGAAGUUAUUGUAAUAUUCUCUUAACUAUAAUCAUGCAAUAAUUAUUCAAAGAUAUGAUAUGAAGGUUGUGACUUACAGAUAAGGGAAUGACAAAGCCUGAGAAAAGGCUCCAAAUUGCAUAGAAUGCACUAGACAUUAUGGCAGCAACAUGUGGGUUGGGACUGAUAGCCAUGGUCAUCAUACCAUAGAAACAAUAGUACAAGAAAGUGAAGUACAUGAAGAAAAGAUACCACAAGAAUUUUGAUGUUGUCCAAUCCAAUCCCAUCAUGGAAUAUACAAUAAUACCAUAAACCAGUGUCUGAACCAAGAUGUGUGGAAGCUCUAUAAUCACCUACAAAUAUAACACAGUACUUAAGUUCGAUUGUUAUAUCACUUAAUUAAGUUCAUGUUCGGCCUGACUUAUUUUGACAUGAAAUAAAAAGUUACUUUAAAAAUAAGAACUUUGAUAUAAAGUUAUAGUAGUUUCUUCUAUUAAGGAGAAGAGAAGUAAAAAAUAAGUCAGGCCAAACGAAACCUAAGACUUUAUUUGUUACUUGUUAGUGAAGGAAUCGCUGCGGUUAGGGAAAAAGCACACAGUCACGCAACCAAAGAAUCUCAGACUACGAGUUAUCUGAUCUUCAUUUGACGAUUGUAAUUCACGACAGUAUGAUUACAUGACUACGGAGAAUCCAAAUUAUAAAAAAAAUAAAAAUUACCUGUGCUAUUGCAUAAGGCAAAGCAGAAUACAUUCCAGCAGCUCUUUCUCUAUAAAAGACUGUUCUCUCAACAGCUAUUACUGGCUGCACAGAGGCACCAUUUUGUACUCCAAUAAAUAUAACAGAAGCAUACAUUGAUCCCAUUGCAUUGAAAAGAUCUUGUUCCUUUCUCCUUUUCAAUCCAAUGUUCCAAAAUAUGAUUCCAAACAAGAUAGCUAUUAGUGUUGUAAAUAACAGUCUAACUGCUGUAUAUGACGUGUUUCGCCAAUAUGAUAAAUGUUGUUUCCAUAAGCAAGCUUUACAUUGUGCCAACAUAGUUUGUGUAUAUUGAGUAUCAAAGUAUAAAUCCUUUGAAUCUUGAGGAGGUAUACUUAAUUCCUGGAUCAAUUGUUUGUUUCUCCUAAAAACAAUUAUAAGUAUCAGUAACAAGUUGACGAAAGAUAUAUUCUCAUAACUCGAAAAAUUUAGUCGUGACAUCCUUGAGGUUACAAGGUCAAACUCUUACAAGUGAGCUGAAACCUCCCGGAAAAAUGUAAAAAUUAGUACAUAACACAAUAAUAUGCAUAUAAGAAAGAAUUCUAACCGGUAUAGUUCCGAGUUUCUGUAUACAUUAGUGAAGUCAACCUUAAGAUUUGCUUCUGAUCCUGCUGAUGUAACUUCCAACAUCCAUGUUGCAGGAUUAUAACCAUCUUUGAUCUUAGGAACUCCUUCAAUAGCCUAUAGUAUUAAUGAAUUAAGUGAAUGCUAAUACUAAUGAUGAUACUCAUAUGCUCAAACUAUUUUACAUUCGACUCACCUCAAAAUAAUGAAUCAACUGAGAACAGUGGCGGCCUAAUGGACCGGCAUAUAUUUGUUCACCUCCCAAUUUCAUAAGUAGAAGCUGAAAAAGUUGAGAUUCAAGUACUUAAUUAACUCUACAAAAUUCUAACUCAAUGGUAGUAAGAUUUGUUACCUCAUCGAAGGAGUCAAAUAUGUCAAUGCUUGGCUGAUGGAUCGUGCAAACCACAGUACGUCCUGUGUCUACGGUGUUCCUUACCGUUCUCAUUACAAUUGCAGCUGCUCUAGCAUCAAGGCCAGAGGUUGGCUCAUCCAUGAAUAUUAUUGAUGGAUUUGCUACAAGUUCAACUGCAAUUGUAAGUCUCUUACGUUGUUCAGUUGAAAGUCCAUUCUCGCCUGGCAAUCCAACAAGUGCUUCCCUUAAUGAGUUAAGCUCUACAAGCUCCAUAACUUCCUCGAUAAACAUCU